rnacentral:tRNA from 1 species
GUGGAGGUUCGAGUCCUCUUCAAGGCAUAAUAUUGAGAAUGCUCAUUGAAUGAGCAAUUCAAUAACAGAUCUCGGAUCUAA